rnacentral:lncRNA from 1 species
CAGGAAUUCUGGAGCAGCCAUCUGCACUGCUGAUUUUUGCCAGAAGAUCUGGGUUCACUUUUCACGUCCUGCAACAAUUUGUGCCCUUGACAACCUGCACUGUGGCCUCCAGGGUUCCCUCAUUGCCGGCUGAGAAAUCUGAAAAUGUACAUUGCAUUAUUUUGCCCCGUUUCUUUGGAGAAAGUUGAGGCUCCCAAGCAGAAUCAGACAGAACUCUGAAGCGUCUCUGCUGUUCAGGCAGUGGUGAAGUGUGGUGCAGUUUGGGUCACCAGGUCCUCCAUCCAUGGGCAAGCUGUGACCCCAGAAACCUGCUGCUUUGUUUGGUGUCUGUGAGGAGAAUGCUGCUUCUUCUGGGAAGAGUUGCUUUGGGAAUGACCAGGCCAGGGGGGCUGGAUGUGUGUGUUGCACCAGACCAGAAUAAGGAAAUGUUUUUUUACAACAAGCAGGUGACAUGCAAGCAGCACAGCGAACAGCAAUGCCUAAAGCAAAGCAACCCGAAGAGAAAAUCUGGGAAGGCUCAGCAACAAAGUUCUCCUCUGCAGCUUUCUCCUGGCAAGCUCUGCUCUGGGAUUUGCAGGGGAGACCUCAAAGACAGUAUUAAAAAACAAAAAACAACAAAAAAAACACAACGGCUUUUUGUCAAGGCUGAGAAAUGUGAUGCUUCGUUAAAGUGAAAUCAUGGAUCACUGAAAGAGCCGGAUGCCUCCAGAGAGCCACUUGGCCAGAGCAGAUGUGAGGCUGCUGGGGUGUGAAUGCAGGUGGGUGUGUGCUGAGGGUUCAGCCCCGUCCCCCUGCACUGCCCCACCCUGCACGAUGGCCAGGAGGGGAGGGUGUGAUGGGGG